UGGUGGAGUGAUUUGUCUGGUUAAUUCCGUUAACGAACGAGACCUCGACCUGCUAAAUAGUUCAGCAAAGGUUUUCCUUUGAUCUGUGACUUCUUAGAGGGACUAUCGGUGUGUAGCCGACGGAAGUUCGAGGCAAUAACA
rnacentral:rRNA from 1 species